rnacentral:rRNA from 1 species
GAAUUUUGGGCAAUGGGCGAAAGCCUGACCCAGCAACGCCGCGUGAGGGAUGAAGGCCCUCGGGUCGUAAACCUCUGUCGGGAGGGAAGCACGGUUGCAAGGUGAACAAUCUUGGAACCUGACGGUACCUCCACAGGAAGCGCCGGCUAACUCCGUGCCAGCCGCCGCGGUAAUACGGAGGGCGCAAGCGUUGUUCGGGAUCAUUGGGCGUAAAGCGCGUGUAGGCGGCUUGGCAAGUCGGGUGUGAAAUCCCGGGGCUCAACCCCGGAACUGCAUUCGAUACUGCCUCGCUAGAGUCCCGGAGAGGAGGGCGGAAUUCCCGGUGUAGAGGUGAAAUUCGUAGAUAUCGGGAGGAACACCAGUGGCGAAGGCGGCCCUCUGGACGGUGACUGACGCUGAGAUGCGAAAGCGUGGGGAGCAAACAGG